AAAAGUUUGACAACUUGGCUUCUACCCUUGCCCGCCGAUAUCGGAAGGUAAAGACACCAGUUUUCCCUUAUGCAAAAUGCAUAGCGAUAUUGUAAAAUAAAGCAAAUAAAUGGCAUAUAUCACAAAAAUAUAGAGAACACUUGCCCAGAUAUUCUUUAAUAUAUAUUAAAUAUACGGAUGGUUGCAUGUGUAGUGUCAAUUGUAUUUUUUAGUGUCUUGAUAUAAAAUAUUACAUGUUCAUACCACAUAUAUUGAUAGUCCACGUAUAUACGAAUAUACUGUAUAUUUAAUUAGUGUUGUAUGUGGUUUUCUAAUAGUGAAGGUACUUCACAAUCCUUAUCAACAAUAGUCAAAGUGGUAGGCGUUUUCCUCAUUGUCAUUUAUGUUUGAAGGCCACAAUAGCCCUGCAAUGCCAGUUGCAUAACCUGGAGGCCAUGAAAACGGAAAUGGACGUCUCAGACAAUCAACUGGAGAGGUGGAUCAUUGAUAUCAAUGAGUGGGCAGAAGCAACAACAUCCCCAAAUGAUGCUGAUGUUGCCGCUGUUGCCAGCCGAAUUGAGGAGCUGGUGGCAAGUGUUAAGAGGAGGUCCCAGCGUCUUUACAAGGAUAGUGACGGAUGCAAAGGGACGUGCCCGAAUCCGCCGAAAGAUCAGGGAGGAAAAAUCUUAAAUUCUGUAGUGGAAAAAGUACAACACCUUGGUUCCUAAUGCAGAAAAAAACUGUCAUUGGACACCAUUCUAUCUGACGAGAUUGUUUGGCCAUGGCAGCUUACACACGGUGACUCUGUUGAUCUAAGGACAAAGAGGAAGGCGUUCGACAUUGUGAUGGCAGUAAGGAGACUUGAGGAGGAGAAGAGGAUUCUUAUUGCAGAGAUGAACAAGCAUUGGAAGUCUCUUUGCUCCCGUGCAGACACCCUGAAGCAGAUGUCAUCCAAGCUUUCUAAUGUGACAUCAGGUGAGACUUGGGGCCUGCUUCAAGAUGGUAUCCGAGGUCUACAAAGCUUGACGAUGAAGAACAAGCGAGCAAGCAACAGCCUGGCAAAGCAUGCAAAGAAAUAUUAUGUUCAAGUUCUGACUGAAACAGAAAUUAACUUUGAUAGUGAUUCUGAGGAAUACCAUACCAGUAGUGACUCUGAGCAAGAUUAAACAUGGCCAGAGUCCUUUUUAUGCUGUUGUGUGCUGGGGAGGCAGCAUUAAAGAAGAGGGCCGCUGGGACAGGUUGUUAAGGAAAGCUGGCUCUGUGUUUGGCAUGGAGCUGGAGUUAAUUAUUUAACAAACUGAGGAUAAUUUGCAGUAGCAGUCUUCUGUCAUGCUCAACAUUGAGGAGGUCCUUUGUCCCCAGGGCAUACCAGCAACUCAAUGUCACAGAAAAGGUUAGGGGAGAAAUUGACUUUUCAGCAUGAGUCUCACCCUGCGCCAACCAUUACAUCGCUUUGUCUAUUGUCUAGUAUCCACUAUCCAUUUGACUGUCUUACAGGCUACAUUAGCCCCUCUACACAUUCUGAACUGUGGUUUCAACAUUUACCCCUGUUGGCUUGUAUAAUCUUUUUUUCUUUUUUUAUAUAUAUUUAAGUUUCUGUUUUUUUCUAUCUAUUUUAACUUCUUUGUAUUGUUUUUUUGUUAAGCAAUACUAUUAUGCUCAGACUCUUUUUUUCCAUAGUCAUAUUAAACAUGCACAGCUUUGCACUGAUUAAAUCCCUGCACUGUUUACUUUUUGCACUACCACCACUGCAAAUCACUCUAUAGUUGCCCAUCAUGUAUCACAGGGUCAGUCCCUACCAGGCCUUUGUAAUCACUUGACAUGCUCUUCACUU
ensembl:lncRNA